CAACUUUUCCAGGAACCUCAAAAAGCAAUCGACUUAUUUAAUAAGUCUUUGCAAUUGGAUCCUCAUAAUGUUGAGGCUGAGAUCAAUUUAUCUUUGGCUUAUUUAGCCACUAAUCGGCCAGAAGAGGCCGUUCGUUGUUAUAAGAGAGCCAUAGAGAAAUCAUCUGUUCUUUCUUUGGAUUUACCGCAAAUUUAUUAUUAUAUGGAAACUUGCAAAUUGCAGUGCCAACUUGAACGAAAUG